rnacentral:rRNA from 1 species
UACGGAGGGUGCGAGCGUUGUCCGGAAUCACUGGGCGUAAAGGGCGUGUAGGCGGGAAGGAAAGUCAGAUGUGAAAUCCCCAGGCUCAACCUGGGAACUGCAUUUGAAACUCCCUUUCUUGAGUACCGGAGAGGAAAGUGGAAUUCCUGGUGUAGAGGUGAAAUUCGUAGAUAUCAGGAGGAACACCAGUGGCGAAGGCGGCUUGCCAGAACGCGCUCGACGGUGAGGGAUGAAAGCUGGGGGGAGCAAACCGG